rnacentral:misc_RNA from 1 species
GAUGAAGAACGUAGCGAAAUGCGAUACUUGGUGUGAAUUGCAGAAUCCCGUGAACCAUCGAGUCUUUGAACGCAAGUUCCGCCCGAAGCCAUUAGGCCGAGGGCACGCCUGCCUGGGUGUCACACGUCGUUGCCCCCCCAUCUACUCCUUCGGGAUUGCGGGGGGCGGAUGAUGGCCUCCCGUGCGCCUCGUCGCGCGGUUGGCAUAAAUGCCAAGUCCUCGGCGACGCACGCCACGACAAUCGGUGGUUGCGAAACCUCGGUUGCCCGUCGUGUGCGGUCGUCGCGCAUCGAGGGCUCGAAAAAAUUGCCGGGCUCCGGCUCGGCUUUCAACGCGACCCCAGGUCAGGCGGGGUUACCCGCUGAAUUUAAGCAUAUCAAUAAGCGGAGGA